UGGUGCCCAACAUGGGGCACCUGGCACAGAGGAUUCAACAAGGGAGCUAUUGGGAGACGCUAGCUGAAUGUGAAACUAAAGUUCCGAGGCCUACACUACGCAGGAGCCUGCCAUGCCACUCGAGCCAUGGUAAGUGAAUGGUGAUCCCUUCCCCUUUCCCGGCACGGGUCAAGCAUUGAGUGACCAUGAACUUUUCAUGGGAGGCCUAAGUCAGGCGUUAAAGACAAGAGGGAUUAAGGUUAAAGAAAAAGAUUUAUUACAAUAUUUUCAAUUUAUUCAUAAGAUUUG
rfam:Cavia porcellus supercont2_86 genomic scaffold, whole genome shotgun sequence.